rnacentral:rRNA from 1 species
CAAUAGCGUAUAUUAAAGUUGUUGUGGUUAAAAAGCUCGUAGUUGGAUCUCGGCGGACUGAGGGCGGUUUGCUUGCUAGUAUUACUGCCCUAUAGUCCGUAGUUUUGCCAGAGGUUUCGGGGUGCUCUUAAUCGAGUGUCCCGGGAUGCUGGCAGGUUUACUUUGAAAAAUUAGAGUGCUCAAAGCAGGCGCUUUCGCCUGAAUAAUGGUGCAUGGAAUAAUGGAAUAGGACCUCGGUUCUAUUUUGUUGGUUUUCGGAACUCGAGGUAAUGAUUAAGAGGGACAGACGGGGGCAUUCGUAUUACGGUGUUAGAGGUGAAAUUCUUGGAUCGCCGUAAGACGAACUACUGCGAAAGCAUUUGCCAAGAAUGUUUUCAUUAGUCAAGAACGAAAGUCAGAGGUUCGAAGACGAUCAGAUACC